rfam:Clostridium sp. CAG:7 genomic scaffold, scf140
AUUAUGCGUGUUGAAUGCCCUGAGACAGCAGGUACCGUAAGGUGUAAGCUUAAAACGCCUGCCGAGGAACAUACAAAGCUCUAAUGAGAUUUUGCAUACCUCUCUGUCAUUGCGGCAGGGAGGUUUUUUUAUAAGAUC